rnacentral:rRNA from 1 species
UACGAAGGGGGCUAGCGUUGCUCGGAAUCACUGGGCGUAAAGGGCGCGUAGGCGGAUCUUUAAGUCGGGGGUGAAAGCCCAGGGCUCAACCCUGGAAUUGCCUUCGAUACUGAGGAUCUCGAGACCGGAAGAGGUGAGUGGAACUGCGAGUGUAGAGGUGAAAUUCGUAGAUAUUCGCAAGAACACCAGUGGCGAAGGCGGCUCACUGGCCCGAAACUGACGCUGAGGUGCGAAAGCGUGGGGAGCAAACAGG